GUAGGGAAUCUUCCACAAUGGACGAAAGUCUGAUGGAGCAACGCCGCGUGAGUGAAGAAGGUCUUCGGAUCGUAAAACUCUGUUGUUAGAGAAGAACGUGCAUGAUAGUAACUGAUCAUGUAAUGACGGUAUCUAACCAGAAAGCCACGGCUAACUACGUGCCAGCAGCCGCGGUAAUACGUAGGUGGCAAGCGUUGUCCGGAUUUAUUUGGCGUAAAGGGAACGCAGGCGGUUUUUUUAGUCUGAUGUGAAAGCAUUCGGCUUAACCGAAGAAUAGGAUUGGAAACUGGAAGACUUGAGUGCAGAAGAGGAGAGUGGAAUUCCAUGUGUAGCAGUGAAAUGCGUAGAGAUUUGGAAGAACACCAGUGGCGAAGGCGACUUUCUGGACGAUGUCGGACUCUGAGGCGCGAAAGCUAGGGGAGCGAACGGGAUUAGAAACCCGGGUAGUCC
rnacentral:rRNA from 1 species